UACGUAGGGUGCGAGCGUUAAUCGGAUUUACUGGGCGUAAAGCGUGCGCAGGCGGUUUGUUAAGCGAGAUGUGAAAGCCCCGGGCUCAACCUGGGAACCGCAUUUCGAACUGGCAAACUAGAGUCUUGUAGAGGGGGGUAGAAUUCCAGGUGUAGCGGUGAAAUGCGUAGAGAUCUGGAGGAAUACCGGUGGCGAAGGCGGCCCCCUGGACAAAGACUGACGCUCAUGCACGAAAGCGUGGGGAGCAAACAGG
rnacentral:rRNA from 1 species